UUUUUUCAUUAAUUUUUAUCGUCGCCAGAGAGAGUAAACUCAGUGGUUUCGAAUUAUUGAGAAUUGCAAUCAGAGUAACAUUAAAAAUGUUGCUAGGUUUGUUUUGGGGUUUCUAGAGUUCAGGUGGGUGGGAGAGUGACGCCGGUUUUACGGGCAGUCAAACUCCCAGACUCCUGAAACACUAAAAGGUUAUUUCCUUGGGACGCAAGGGUCAGACUUGGGGAUGUUUAAAGUCCCCGCAUCCUUCUCUUGUUUUUUGCCGCGAGUCUGGGUCAGUGCCUGGUUUUACCCAGACGCAGUCCCAGGGUCUACGCGGCGAAAAGAGGUGUGGUAAUGAUCCUUCCGCAGGUUCACCUACGGAAA
rnacentral:misc_RNA from 1 species